CCUACGGGAGGCAGCAGUGAGGAAUAUUGGUCAAUGGGCGCGAGCCUGAACCAGCCAAGUAGCGUGAAGGAUGACUGCCCUACGGGUUGUAAACUUCUUUUAUAAAGGAAUAAAGUGAGGCACGUGUGCCUUUUUGUAUGUACUUUAUGAAUAAGGAUCGGCUAACUCCGUGCCAGCAGCCGCGGUAAUACGGAGGAUCCGAGCGUUAUCCGGAUUUAUUGGGUUUAAAGGGAGCGUAGAUGGGUUGUUAAGUCAGUUGUGAAAGUUUGCGGCUCAACCGUAAAAUUGCAAUUGAUACUGGCAGUCUUGAGUACAGUUGAGGUAGGCGGAAUUCGUGGUGUAGCGGUGAAAUGCUUAGAUAUCACGAAGAACUCCGAUUGCGAAGGCAGCGUACCGGCGCCGGACUGACGCUGAGGCACGAAAGUGUGGGUAUCAAACAGGAUUAGAUACCCGAGUAGUC
rnacentral:rRNA from 1 species